AUGUAUAUACGUAUAUACAUAUAUGUGUGUAUACAUAUAUAUACACAUAUAUGUAUAUACGUAUAUAUACA
rnacentral:pre_miRNA from 13 species